AUUGAACGCUGGCGGAAUGCUUUACACAUGCAAGUCGAACGGCAGCACGGACUUCGGUCUGGUGGCGAGUGGCGAACGGGUGAGUAAUGUAUCGGAACGUGCCCAGUCGUGGGGGAUAACGUAGUGAAAAUUACGCUAAUACCGCAUACGAUCUAAGGAUGAAAGCGGGGGAUCGCAAGACCUCGCGCGAUUGGAGCGGCCGAUAUCAGAUUAGGUAGUUGGUGGGGUAAAGGCCCACCAAGCCAACGAUCUGUAGCUGGUCUGAGAGGACGACCAGCCACACUGGAACUGAGACACGGUCCAGACUCCUACGGGAGGCAGCAGUGGGGAAUUUUGGACAAUGGGCGAAAGCCUGAUCCAGCCAUUCCGCGUGCAGGAUGAAGGCCCUCGGGUUGUAAACUGCUUUUGUACGGAACGAAAAGGUUUCUACUAAUACUAGGAGCUCAUGACGGUACUGUAAGAAUAAGCACCGGCUAACUACGUGCCAGCAGCCGCCGCAG
rnacentral:rRNA from 1 species